rnacentral:rRNA from 1 species
UACGUAGGGUGCGAGCGUUAAUCGGAAUUAUCGUGGCGUAAAGCGUGCGCAGGCGGCGCGUUAAGACAGGUGUGAAAGCCCCCGAGCUUAACUUGGGAAUUGCGCUUGUGACUGGCGUGCUGGAGUGUGGCAGAGGGAGGUGGAAUUCCACGUGUAGCAGUGAAAUGCGUAGAGAUGUGGAGGAACACCGAUGGCGAAGGCAGCCCCCCUGGGCUGACACUGACGCUCAGGCACGAAAGCGUGGGGAGCAAACAGG